rnacentral:rRNA from 1 species
AUGAACGCUGGCGGCGUGCCUAAUACAUGCAAGUCGAGCGAACAGACGAGGAGCUUGCUCCUCUGACGUUAGCGGCGGACGGGUGAGUAACACGUGGAUAACCUACCUAUAAGACUGGGAUAACUUCGGGAAACCGGAGCUAAUACCGGAUAAUAUAUUGAACCGCAUGGUUUAAUAGUGAAAGACGGUUUUGCUGUCACUUAUAGAUGGAUCCGCGCCGCAUUAGCUAGUUGGUAAGGUAACGGCUUACCAAGGCAACGAUGCGUAGCCGACCUGAGAGGGUGAUCGGCCACACUGGAACUGAGACACGGUCCAGACUCCUACGGGAGGCAGCAGUAGGGAAUCUUCCGCAAUGGGCGAAAGCCUGACGGAGCAACGCCGCGUGAGUGAUGAAGGUCUUCGGAUCGUAAAACUCUGCUAUUAGGGAAGAACAAAUGUGUAAGUAACUAUGCACGUCUUGACGGUACCUAAUCAGAAAGCCACGGCUAACUACGUG